ensembl:lncRNA
GGAACCAAGAAGAGCAGGAGGCUUGCCAGAGGAGUUUACAGACUGAAAAAGACGCUAAAUCUGGCAACCUUGAGUCCCAAGACAUGGGCCAAGCACAAUCUCAGGGUCUCCUCCCCACGGAAACUAGUCAACCUUCACAAAGAGAGGAGGAGAGCGAGGGGAGUGCUGAUCUUAGUUGGCGAGGGGACUUACCAGAGGAAAGGGAAGGGGAGAUGAGUAGCAGCCAGGAAAUAGGCUUAAACUCUAAAGCACUUUCUUCCCAUGAUCCAGAGGAAAACGGUCAGCAUGACGAAAAGUUUGAGCCCAAGCUGCCUACGGAAUGCUCGGUGGGAACAGAUGAAGCUAAAUUGACUUUAAUUCAGGUAAAUUCUGAGGUUACCUCGUCCGUACGAAACGAUGAAGCUCUUAUUUCUGAUGGUGUUGACAAGCCACAUGGUAGCCUAGAGACAGAGACAGGAAAUCUUAGCGAGCACACCAACGUCAAGGCUGAGUCAGUUUCUGGUUUGGUAACGGAUGAGGUUAGCAUAAAGCAGAACUCUGGAUUAAGCAUUUCAGAAGGUGGUCCUUUGGAAUUGUUAAGUCUCCAGCCAAACAUGGCACCAGGACCAGUGCAUAAGGUUCGACGAGGGCUCUCACCCGUUCCUGAGACUUCUCACGAAGGUCCUGCUGUGGAGCCCUUGUCUGAGACUGCAGAAGUUUUUCAACAGCUACACCAAGUCUCACAAUCUUCAGAAACCGCAUUAGAAUGUCAGGAGAUUUUGAAUGACUCAGACUGUGACAUCAGUGCUGUAGCAGGGGUUUCUGUUGGCAUCAUUGCGGAGGUUGCAUCUUGCCAGAUUGCUGGGUCUCUACCUGAUGGAAGCAAGGAGGAGGAAACCCCUAAUGAGAGGAUAAACCACCCUAAGGAGAUCUUUGAAGAGCAGGAAUCAAUUAAUGACACUGUUGUCUCACCGUUGGAUGACAAAUCAAAAUCUUCUGAAGAAUCUUCUCUGCCUGUUGACUCUGAAGCCUUUAUUGUAAGUGAUUUACAACAGGAUGCGUCUACGAUACUGUCUUCUGAACAUUGCGGAGUUGAUAUAAUCAAAGGAACUACUUUUGGGGGAAAAGAUGGAUCUGAAACAUUUGUUCAGCCAGACUCUACAUCCAACCUGGUUGAGCAGAUUCCUGAGGAAGAUUCUGGUGAUACCACAAAUGAAAAUCAAAUUUGUGAGCCAGGGGAACCAUUGGUUCUAGUUUCCACUUUACAAGGUGAACCGGGAUUUAAGGAUGUUGCUCCAGAUGACACUCUACAGGAAAGGGAAAUUGACUCCACUUCACAGGACACAAUCAACAAGCUCCUUGAUCUGCCGGAAAUCACACACAAUGAUUGUCCUGAAUCCAAUAAACAGGUCCAACUCCCAGAAUCCUCCAAAGAGAGUGCAAACACACCAUCAGAACCUACUGCUGAAUGUGUGAAUGACCUUGACCUGUCUUGUGGAUCACCCCUAACAGAAAGCCAAGGCAGCAGACCUUCUGAGACCCCCUUCACUGAUGGAGUAAAGAUCUCUGCUGUAAUUCCUGGUGGGGAUGAAUGUGUUGACAUGGCUACCGAUAUGUGCGAGACGACUGUCUCCGGGGACAGCCCAUGCUCUCCCAUGGACACCAGCAGUGGUUCAGCUCUGAAAAGCUCCUCCAUGUCUGACCCACUCAAUGCCUCAUCCUCAACAGCUGAGCUCACUUCCCCUUUGGAUAUUAAUAGUGGAUCGCACCAGGAUUUGGAACACACGUCCCCAGUGGAUAUAGACAAUGGUUUGUCUGAGGAACUGCAGCCUUCAGAAACACCUGAGAGCCUGAAUGGAUUACAUCAAGAUACGCCUGAUUGUUUGAUGAAUCACAGUGAAACUCUUCAGCAGUGUGCAGAGGAACCACAUGUCGAAAAAAUGACGGAUGACAGUGCUUUAGCAGAGGAUGCGGUGGACGGACACCAAGACUCCUCGGUAGACAUAGCGAAUUCUGAAGUGGUGAGUAUUCUUUGGCUAUUUUCCUCAACCUGCCAUCCACUAAAUAAAUCAUUAACAUUUAGACCUCUUG